rnacentral:rRNA from 1 species
UCCGUAGGCGGGCGUCUAAGUCAGUGGUGAAAUCUUACAGCUCAACUGUAAAAUUGCCAUUGAUACUGGAUGUCUUGAAUUAGUGUGAAGUGGUUAGAAUGUGUAGUGUAGCGGUGAAAUGCAUAGAUAUUACACAGAAUACCAAUUACGAAGGCAGAUCACUAACACUAUAUUGACGCUGAGGGACGAAAGCGUGGGGAGCGAACAGGAUUAGAUACCCUGGUAGUCC